ACGUAGCAAUACGUUUGUAAAGCGGCGAACGGGUGAGGAAUACAUGGGUAACCUACCCUCGAGUGGGGAAUAACUAGCCGAAAGGUUAGCUAAUACCGCGUACGCUUCUUGGACUUCGGUUCAGGGAGGAAAGCGAUACCGUGGGUAUCGCGCUCUUGGAUGGGCUCAUGUCCUAUCAGCUUGUUGGUGAGGUAACGGCUCACCAAGGCUUCGACGGGUAGCUGGUCUGAGAGGACGAUCAGCCACACUGGCACUGCGACACGGGCCAGACUCCUACGGGAGGCAGCAGUAAGGAAUAUUGCGCAAUGGGCGAAAGCCUGACGCAGCGACGCCGCGUGGGGGAUGAAGGUCUUCGGAUUGUAAACCCCUUUCGGGAGGGAAGAUGGAAUGGGGUAACCCAUUCGGACGGUACCUCCAGAAGCAGCCACGGCUAACUUCGUGCCAGCAGCCGCGGUAAUACGAAGGUGGCAAGCGUUGUUCGGAUUUACUGGGCGUACAGGGAGCGUAGGCGGUUCGGUAAGCCCUCUGUGAAAUCUCCAGGCUUAACCUGGAACAGUCGGAGGGGACUGCCGGGCUAGAGGACGGGAGAGGAGCGCGGAAUUCCCGGUGUAGCGGUGAAAUGCGUAGAGAUCGGGAGGAAGGCCGGUGGCGAAGGCGGCGCUCUGGAACGUUUCUGACGCUGAGGCUCGAAAGCGUGGGGAGCAAACAGGAUUAGAUACCCUGGUAGUCCACGCCUUAAACUAUGAAUACUAAGUGUCGGCGGGUUACCGCCGGUGCCGCAGCUAACGCAUUAAGUAUUCCGCCUGGGAAGUAC
rnacentral:rRNA from 1 species